CCUACGGGUGGCAGCAGUAGGGAAUUUUCCACAAUGGGCGAAAGCCUGAUGGAGCAACGCCGCGUGGGUGAAGAAGGUCUUCGGAGCGUAAAACCCUGUUGUUAGAGAAGCAAGUGCGUGAGAGUAACUGUUCACGUUUCGACGGUAUCUAACCAGAAAGCCACGGCUAACUACGUACCAGCAGCCGCGGUAAUGCCUAGGUGGCAAGCGUUAUCCGGAGUUAUUGGGCGGUAAGGGAACGCAGGCGGUCUUUUAAGUCUGAUGUGAAAGCCGUCGGCUUAAACGGAGUACAGCAGUGGAAACGGGGGGACUUGAGUGCAGAAGAGGAGAGUGGAAUGCGAGGUGUAGCGGUGAAAUGCGUAGAUAUAUGGAAGAACACCAGUGGCGAAAGCGGCUCUCUGGUCUGUAACUGACGCUGAGGUUCGAAAGCGUGGGUAGCAAACAGGAUUAGAUACCCGGGUAGUC
rnacentral:rRNA from 1 species